rnacentral:lncRNA from 1 species
AUGGUCUUCAUGGUGAGGCAAAUGCAGGAAAAAUGCCUUGAGCAGAACCUGAAUCUCUACAUUGUCUUCAUAGACCUGACAAAGGCGUUCGACACAGUGAACAGGGAUGCAUUGUGGGUGAUCCUCAGCAAGCUCGGUUGCCCAGCAAUAUUCGUCAAACUGAUCCAGCUCUUUCAUGUCGACAUGACAGGGGAAGUCCUAUCUGGUGGAGAGACUUCUGAUCGCUUCAACAUCUCCAAUGGCGUGAAACAAGGCUGUGUCCUCGCUCUGGUACUAUUCAACCUAUACUUCACCCAAGUAUUACGACAUGCUGUGAUGGAUCUAGACCUGGGCAUCUACAUCAAAUACCAACUGGAUGGCUCACGAUUUGACCUUCGCCGCCUGACUGCAAAAACAAAGACAACAGAGAGACUCAUCCUAGAAGCUCUCUUUGCAGAUGACUGUGCUCUCAUGGCUCACCAAGAAAAUCAUCUCCAAACCAUUGUGGACAGGUUCUCCACCACAACAAAACUGUUUGGCCUGACUAUCAGCCUCAGCAAAACAGAGGUGCUGUUCCAACCUGCACCAGGGAGGCCAACGAACCAGCCGUGCAUUACAAUCGAGGGUACACAGCUUUCUAACGUCAAUACUUUCAAGUACCUGGGCAGCCCCAUCACCAAUGACGGGUCCCUAGACCACGAGAUGAAUGCCAGGAUCCAAAAGGCCAGCCAGGUACUCGGGCGGCUGCGCUGCAAAGUCCUCCAACACAGAGGUGUAAGCACUGCCAUGAAGCUCAAAGUGUACAAUGCAGUGGUCCUCAGCUCGCUCCUGUACGGUUGUGAGACAUGGACACUGUACCAUAAGCACAUGAAACACCUGGAGCAAUUCCACCAACGCUCCUUCUGGUCAAUCAUGAGGAUCCAAUGGCAGGACCGAAUCACCAAUCAGGAAGUCCUCGACAGAGCCAACUCCACCAGCAUCGAAGUCAUGGUCCCCAAAACCCACUACGAUGGUCUGGACACGUGA